rnacentral:rRNA from 1 species
CCCAGACUCCUACGGGAGGCAGCAGUGGGGAAUAUUGUACAAUGGGGGAAACCCUGAUGCAGCGACGCCGCGUGAGUGAAGAAGUAUCUCGGUACGUAAAGCUCUAUCAGCAGGGAAGAAAAUGACGGUACCUGAUUAAGAAGCCCCGGCUAACUACGUGCCAGCAGCCGCGGUAAUACGUAGGGGGCAAGCGUUAUCCGGAAUUACUGGGUGUAAAGGGAGCGUAGACGGCAAUGCAAGUCCGGAGUGGAAUGCGGCAGCUCAACUGCCGAACUGCUCUGGAAACUGUAUGGCUUGAGUGCAGGAGGGGUAAGCGGAAUUCCUGGUGUAGCGGUGAAAUGCGUAGAUAUCAGGAGGAACACCGGUGGCGAAGGCGGCUUACUGGACUGUAACUGACGUUGAGGCUCGAAAGCGUGGGGAGCAAACAGGAUUAGAUACCCGCGUA